UGGGGAAUAUUGGACAAUGGGCGAAAGCCUGCUCCAGCCAUGCCGCGUGUGUGAAGAAGGCCUUCGGAUUGUAAAGCACUUUAAGUUGGGAGGAAGGGCAGUUACCUAAUACGUGUUUGUUUUGACGUUACCGACAGAAUAAGCACCGCCUAACUCUGUGCCAGCAGCCGCGGUAAUACAGAGGGUGCAAGCGUUAAUCGGAAUUACUGGGCGUAAAGCGCGCGUAGGUGGCUAGAUAAGUUGGAUGUGAAAUCCCCGGGCUCAACCUGGGAACUGCAUUCAAAACUGACUGGCUAGGGUAUAGUAGAAGGUGGUGGAAUUUCCUGUGUAGCGGUGAAAUGCGUAGAUAUAGGAAGGAACUCCAGAGGCGAAGGCGACCACCUGGACUGAUACUGGCACUGAGGUGCGAAAGCGUGGGGAGCAAACA
rnacentral:rRNA from 1 species